ensembl:snoRNA
UCAGAGACUAUAGUCACAUCUGGACACAGGUCUUGUCCUGGUGUGCGAGCGUCCACGGAGAGAAUGUGCUGGUCUUGAUUCACUGGCAGGGCAGUCAGUGUCCUGGCUAGUGCCCUGGUCAGAAAGGUGC